GACGAACGCUGGCGGCGUGCUUAACAAAUGCAAGUCGAACGGAAAGGCCCUGCUUUUGUGGGGUGCUCGAGUGGGGAACGGGUGAGUAACAAGGGAGUAACCUGACCUUGACUUUGGGAUAACUUCAGGAAACUGGGGGUAAUACCGGAUAGGAGUUCCUGCUGCAUGGUGGGGGUUGGAAAGUUUCGGCGGUUGGGGAUGGACGCGCGGCUAAUCAGCUCGUUGGGUGGGUGGUGGGUUACCAGGGCUUUGACUGGUAGCCGGCCUGGGGGGGUGACCGGCCACAUGAGGACUGAGAGACGGCGCAGACGCGUACGGGAGGCAGCGGUGGGGAGUAUGGCGGAGUGGGCGGAAGCCUGAGGCGACAACGCCGCGUGCGGGAUGACGGCCUUCUAGUUGUGAACCGCUGUCGCCGUUGACGAAGCGGGAGUGACGGUAAUGAGUAAGAAAGCACCGGCUAACUACGUG
rnacentral:rRNA from 1 species